GAUCUGGGCCUGGAGGGGAGAUCUGGACCUGGAGGUUGAGUUAUGGGCCUGGAGUGGAGAUAUGAUCCUGGAGUGGAGAUCUGGGCCUGGAGGGGAGAUCUGGACCUGGAGGGUUCUUCUUGGUCCAGAGGGCCUGUCCACACACGGGUGGUCAGGACAAGACCUUCUUGUUUGCCCGGCCUAGCGCUGUGGUGCCUCAGGGAGGACACGUGACUCUUCGGUGUUACUAUCGUGAUGGACUUAACAACUUUACCAACUUCACUCUGUACAAAGACAACAGAAGCCACGUUCCCGUCUUCCACAGCCGAAUAUUCCAGGAGAGCUUCCUCAUGGGCCCUGCGACCCCGGCACACGCAGGGACCUACAGAUGUCGGGGUUCAUACCCGCACUCCCCCACUGAGUGGUCGGCGCUCAGUGACCCCCUGGCGAUCAGGGUCACAGGAGUCCACAGAAAACCUUCCCUCCUGGCCCUCCCAGGUCCCCUGGUGAAAUCAGGAGAGACGGUCACCCUACAAUGUUCUUCAGAUAUGGUGUUUGAGCACUUCUUUCUGCACAGUGAGGGACCUACAGAUGCUACGGUUCUGUCACUCACUCCGACUAUGUGUUGUCAGCUCCCAGUGACCCCCUGGACAUCGUGAUCACAGUGCCAAGCGUCAAUGGAACAUUCCAGGCCAACUUCCCUCUGGGCCCUGCCACCCACGGAGGAACCUACAGAUGCUUCGGUUCUUUCCGUACCACACCCUACCAGUGGUCAGACCCGAGUGACCCACUGCCCGUUUCUGUCACAGGAAACCCCUCACGUAGUUGGCCUUCACCCACUGAACCAAGCUCCAAAACCAACACUCCAACAGCAAAAGGGAUCUUGGCCCAGCACAGGGCUCCGUGAAGUCUCUUCAUCUCUAAUUUUCUGUAGCUGAGACCUCCUACAAGCUGGAAGAAUGACUGCAAAUCUGACAUCCUUCUCAGGAAAAAUGCAGUGUUCUCCCUGCAUUCCUAACUGGAGGAUAAAUUCCUGGGGGCUUGAAAGAGGGAAGGGAAGGGAACAUCUAAUGAGGGUGAGGUGUUUUAGAGAAGUUCCACUUGCCAAGGAAUGAACUCCUGUGGGUCAUGAGGCAACCCUGGCUGACUCAGCAGAGCCAGAGCCUUGCAGUAAAGAGCCUUGCACGCACACUCCGACUCACUGACUCAUUCAGCCAUGGCCCCAUGCUCAGGCUGUGCAGUUAGAAUCCUUUUCUAUUGUUGCCAUAACAAAUUUCCACAAAAUUGGUGGAUGAAAACAAAACGGCUUUUUAAUUAUCUUACAGUGCUGUAGCUCAAAGGAUGAAAUGCACCUCACUGGGCUAAAAUCAAGGUGACAGCAAGGCUGCCUUCCCUCCGAAGGUUCCAGGCGAGAAUCUGCUCUUCAUAUAUCCCAGUUUCUAGAGGCUCCCACGUUCCUUGGCUCCUGGUCCCCUUCCUCCUUCCUCAAAACAGAGCAGGAGAAAGCUGGGUCUCCCGCCAUCAGGCCGCUUGUCCUAAGGAGACAUUCCACAUGGUUACCUGUCAAUCAAGAAACGAGAGACAAUCCAUAAGAAGGAACUGCUAUGAUUAGCUUCUUAUUGGAGUCUCUUCUUCCUCCAGGUAACCCCAGACACCUGCAUGUUCUGAUUGGGACCUCAGUGGUCAUGAUCCUCUUCACCAUCUUCUUCUUUCUCCUGCAUCGCUGGUGCUCCAACAAAAAGAAUGCUGCUGCAAUGGACCAAGAGCCUGCGGGGGACAGAACAGUGAACAGGGAGGACCCUGAUGAACAAGACCCUCAGGAGGUGACAUACGCACAGUUGGAUCACUGCGUUCUCACACAGGGAAAAAUCACUUGCCCUUCUCAGAGGCCCAGGAGACCCCCAACAGAUACCAGCGUGUACAUAGAACUUCCAAAUGCUGAGCCCAGAUCGAAAGUUGUCUUCUAUCCAUGAGCGCCACCGUCAGGCCUUGAAGGAGUCUUCUAGGGACACAACAGCCCUGUCUCAAAACCGGCUUCACAGCUCCAAUGUACCAGCCGCAGGAAUCUGAAGCUGUGAGUCUGCAUCUUAGGACAUCGCUCUUCUUCACACCACGAAUCUGAACAUGCCUCUCUCUUGCUUACCAAUAUCUGUGGUUCCCACUGCCUGCUGCAGAGAAAACACACUCCUUUGCUUAGCCCACAAUUCUCCAAUUCACUUGACCCCUGCCCACCUCUCCAACCUACUGACUUACUUCCUAGUCCUACUGGAGGCUGUGAUCACACUGAGGAACUCACAAUUCCAAUCAUACAAGAGGCUCCUUCUUAACACGGCACUUAGACGCAUGCUGUUCCACCUUCCCUCAUGCUGUUCCACCUUCCCUCAUGCUGUUCCACCUUCCCUCAUGCUGUUCCACCUUCCCUCAUGCUGUUCCACCUCCCCUCAUGCUGUUCCACCUCCCCUCAGACUCUCUUUCAGCCCUUGUCAGCAGUGAAACUUAUAAAUUUUUCUAUCAUUUCAAUGUAGCUCUCUCCUCUUCAAAUAAACACAUCUGUCCUCAU
ensembl:lncRNA